rnacentral:rRNA from 1 species
UGGGGAAUUUUGGACAAUGGGGGAAACCCUGAUCCAGCCAUCCCGCGUGUGCGAUGAAGGCCUUCGGGUUGUAAAGCACUUUUGGCAGGAAAGAAACGUCGCGGGUUAAUACCCCGCGAAACUGACGGUACCUGCAGAAUAAGCACCGGCUAACUACGUGCCAGCAGCCGCGGUAAUACGUAGGGUGCAAGCGUUAAUCGGAAUUACUGGGCGUAAAGCGUGCGCAGGCGGUUCGGAAAGAAAGAUGUGAAAUCCCAGGGCUUAACUUUGGAACUGCAUUUUUUAACUACCGGGCUAGAGUGUGUCAGAGGGAGGUGGAAUUCCGCGUGUAGCAGUGAAAUGCGUAGAUAUGCGGAGGAACACCGAUGGCGAAGGCAGCCUCCUGGGAUAACACUGACGCUCAUGCACGAAAGCGUGGGGAGCAAACAGGAUUAGAUACCCUGGUAGUCCACGCCCUAAACGAUGUCAACUAGCUGUUGGGGCCUUCGGGCCUUGGUAGCGCAGCUAACGCGUGAAGUUGACCGCCUGGGGAGUACGGUCGCAAGAUUAAAACUCAAAUGAAUUGACGGGGGUCAUAGCU